rnacentral:rRNA from 1 species
AUGGUGCUGCAGAAGCUCGAGAAGCCCAAGCACAAGAAGAAGCGCCUCGCGCAGUCCCCCAACUCCUUCUUCAUGGGAUGUAAGUGCCAGGGCUGCUUCAACAUAACGACCGUGUUCAGCCACUCUCAGACCAUGGUGGUGUGCGCAGGGUGGCAGACGGUGCUCUGCCAGCCUACAGGAGGAAAGCGCGAGGGAUGCUCCUUCCACCGCAAAGGCAACACAAAGGGAGGGUUUGGUUCUCGUAGCAACUUUUGUCUGCAUUGCAUGCUUGACCUAGUUGGGCUUGGCUGA